rnacentral:lncRNA from 1 species
AUCUGGUCUUUGCCGCUACCCUCGUCAACAGCCUGAGCUGGAUACCUGGCUGACAAGUACCACCUUUUUCCUACACAGAUGACAACCCAGCCCAUAAGCACCAGGCCCAGGAAACUACCAUUCUACUCUCUGCUUCUAUGAGUUUGACUAUUUUAGAUUUCUCAUGAACUUCCAUACCAUUUCUGUAGUGAUCACACCAACUGAUAUUCCCACCAACAAUGCACAGGGGUUCUGAUUUCCCUACAUUUUUGGCAACACAAGCUAUCACUGUCUUCUUGAUAAUAACCAUUCUAACAGUGGCUCUCCCUGUGAGAGGAGUAUGCUUCUUGAUCACUGAAGGCUGACUAGGCGAUGCAGAAGGCUGCUUCUAACAAUUGAAUCUGAAAACUGAAUUAAUAUAGAGCCAAAGAAAAUACUACGACUCUGUCUUCACACUGCUCCUAAUGGCAUUGGCCACCAUCAGGCCAAGGGGGAUGUUCAGAACACCAGUAAAAUUGUAGACUCUGCUAAUAAAAAAAGAUAAAAUAGCUCAAAAUUAUGUCAUGUUUUAGUUGGCUUCAUAUAUUUUUUUAGUUAGCUUCAUAUUUUAAACAUAUUAUUGUUUUUGGUUUAUGUGUUCAUUUCCAAAAUUUCUGAUUAUCUUUUUUUCUUUGUGCUCUGUCCUUUUAUGAUAUCUCUAAGUCUCUCCAAGCUAACAAUUAUACUAGAGUGUCUGUCAAAUCGCUCCCACCAUCAAUAUCCCUCAGAAAAUGUCCUCCUGUAAUUUUCAGUGCUAUUUUUCCAAACUGGACUGAAUAUUGCUAUAAUAAGACGUUUGAUGACAUUUUUAUUUGUAUAGUCUAAAUUGUAUCUAAGUCCCAAAGCUAAAGACAAAAUAUCCUGUCGCUUAUAUUCUAAAUAGAAACCUAAAAAUAGCCAACUUUGGGUUGGCUUCCUUCAUGUCUGACCCCUAGAUCUUGCAAGGAACCAGCAAGCAACCUUCCUGUUAGGAACACUAGCAUCCCUCUUCCUCAUUCCUCAAUAUGCAUAAGAAGACUAGGGUAGGUAAAGGGGAUGACAGACAUUAGAGUAACCUGGGUUUUUGCUGCCAUUGUGAAAAAUGUAAUUUUCUAGGUAAGUUGUUUUCUCUUCUUCUUCCAUAAGACAAGAAAAAGGAAAUUCUCAAUAUCUUCCAAGCCAAGUAAUAGGAAAGCCAAGAAAAUAACAUAAAUAUUUGAAAUGCUUACAAGAAGAGACAGACACCUUCCUUCCCUGAUAGAUAAAAUCCACAGAACUUGCAGUAACACCUGGUCAUAGGAGAUUAUGAGAGAGAUUCAUAUCUGUAACCUAUUGGGCAGGUAAUUAUUACUUUAGUGAAAAUCUCUUUCAUACAUACACACUCUGCCUCAUUAGUGAACAGUGUCACCUGAUCCUGAAAAGCGUGACUUCUCUCAUCCAUGAUGCUUUUUUUUUGUUUUAUUCUCUCCCGUGCUCUCUCCUUUCUUCCCUCUUCUCCCCUCCCUCCAUCUCCUUCUCUUUCUUUCUUUCUUUUUUUUUUUGUUAAAGUUUUCGGCCUGUAAGCAUUCUUUCUUUUCUUUAAAAAAUUAAACUUUAAGUUCUAGGAUACAUGUUCAGAACGUGCAGGUUUGUUACAUAGGUAUACACGUGCCAUGGUGGUUUGCUGCACCCAUCAACCUAUCAUCUACAUUAGGUAUUUCUCCUAAUGCCAUCCAUCCCCCAGCCCCCCACCUCCUGACAGGUCCCAGUGUGUGAUGUUCCCCUCCCUGUGUCCAUGUGUUCUCAUUGUUCAAUGCCCACUUAUGAGUGAGAACAUGCGGUGUUUGGUUUUCUGUUCUUGUGUUAGUUUGCUGAGAAUGAUGGUGUCCAGCUUCAUCCAUGUGCCUGCAAAGGACAUGAAUUCUUCCUUUUUUAUGGCUGCAUAGUAUUCCAUGGUGUAUAUGUGUCACUUUUUUUUUUUUAAUCCAGUCUAUCCUUGAUGGGCAUGUGGGUUGGUUCCAGGUCUUUAACACUUACCAUCAUCUCAGGAGAAAGGAGGAGAUUGGUGCAUGUUCUCUGUCCCCCAUUCUGAAAAUGGCACAUUUCCCCCUUAGUAUUUGGUGGUGCUUCUGUCAUCUGAUGUUUACUAAUAUUACACAGUGUUUAUGUGUCAUUUACAAAAGAGGCAGUGUAAUCAUAAGAAAGAGCAUAGGAUUAGAAAUUUUGUAGACUUGUUUAAAUUCUGGCUCUGUCACUUGUUGUCUAUAUGAUUUUGGGCAAAGUUAACUAUUUUCUUAUCUUUGACUUGUGAAUAAUGACAGCAAGAAUAACAGUGGCAACAAUAAUGAAAAAGUCAAUGACAAUUAUAUCAGCAUAUCAUUUGUUUUUCUCAUCAAUAGAUAUAUUACAUAAUUAAAACACCUGGUUCAGCUACUAAUUAAUUUAAUAAAUUUACAUUAAGUACUCA